CCUACGGGUGGCAGCAGUGGGGAAUAUUGCGCAAUGGGCGCAAGCCUGAUCCAGCAACGCCGCGUGAAGGAAGAAGGGUUUCGGGUUGUAAACUUCUUUUCUCAGGGACGAAGCAAGUGACGGUACCUGAGGAAUAAGCCGCCGCUAACUACGUGCCCGCCGCCGCGGUAAUGCGUAGGUGGCAAGCGUUAUCCGGAUUUACUGGGUGUAAGGGGCGUGGAGGGGGGAAAGCAAGUCAGAUGUGAAAACCAUGGGCUCAACCUGUGGCCUGCAUUUGAAACUGUGUUGCUUGAGUACUGGAGAGGCAGGCGGAAUUCCUAGUGUAGCGGUGAAAUGCGUAGAUAUUAGGAGGAACACCAGUGGCGAAGGCGGUCUGCUGGACAGCAACUGACGCUGAGGCGCGAAAGCGUGGGGAGCAAACAGGAUUAGAUACCCUAGUAGUC
rnacentral:rRNA from 1 species